GCGCGUGUAGUGUAAUGGAUAUCACACUGGAUUCCGGUUCCAGAGAUGAGAGUUCGAUUCUCCCCAUGCGCACUA
rnacentral:tRNA from 1 species